AGCGAACGCUGGCGGCGUACUUAACACAUGCAAGUCGAACGAGGAGCGUCGGUGUAGCAAUACAUCGGCGCUUCUAGUGGCGCACGGGUGAGUAACACGUGGGCAACCUGCCCUUGAGUCUGGGAUACCCUCUCGAAAGGGAGGCUAAUACCGGAUACGUUCCUCGGAUCGCGAGAUCUGGGGAGGAAAGGCGGCGAAAGCUGCCACUCUUGGAGGGGCUCGCGGCCUAUCAGCUAGUUGGUGAGGUAAUGGCUCACCAAGGCUAUGACG
rnacentral:rRNA from 1 species